ACAGGGUCCUCAGGAGGAUCCUGAAAUAGCAUUGAGUUCUUGAAAAGUUAGAUAACUGUAAUCAGAUACCAUACAUUUUCAUUGUGAUAGACAAAUAUUGUUAACUUUCAUGUGGACACACACUCCAAAUAACUAAAUAGACAAAAAAAUAGAAAGACAAGGACAUGAAGUAAUUGGUGAGUACCAUAGAACAUAUUCUAGAAAAGGAACCUACGGAAGACUCCAACAAGACUUCCAACAAAGAAACAGAAUUAGUGAAUUCCUAAAUGUUUCUUAAACAUUGCCAAUAUAAAGGACACAUAUACAGCUGUGUCCAAUUAAGUCAACAAUGAUAGCUUGGAAGAAAACAUUUUAAUAAUAAUGCCAUUACUCUUAUUUGCUAUUGGCAAGUUCUCAAUUUUUAUAAGAUUUUAUAAGUCAAAUAGCCCUAAACUAUCAAAAAAUCAUCUCGCAACCUUGUCUCAUGUUCAUGUUUAUUGAGCAUAGUAAUUCACUUCUCAUAUUCAGGAUUCAAGGAUAUAGAUUGAAAAGAAAAAAGGAGCAGAGCCCGAUCAACCAAAAGGAGGAAAAAAAA
rnacentral:misc_RNA from 1 species